rnacentral:rRNA from 1 species
UACGUAGGGGGCAAGCGUUGUCCGGAAUUAUUGGGCGUAAAGCGCGUGUAGGCGGUCCGGUAAGUCCGCUGUGAAAGUCGGGGGCUCAACCCUCGGAUGCCGGUGGAUACUGUCGGGCUUGAGUACGGAAGAGGCGAGUGGAAUUCCUGGUGUAGCGGUGAAAUGCGCAGAUAUCAGGAGGAACACCAAUUGCGAAGGCAGCUCGCUGGGACGUUACUGACGCUGAGACGCGAAAGCGUGGGGAGCAAACAGG